UAUUGGUGGUGAGAGCAUUGAUAGAGUAGCAACUUGAAUCACUCCCAUGCUUCAUGUAUUAGCUCUCCGUUCAUAUGUGAAAAUGUGUAAAUCUUAUUCCUUAAAUC